rnacentral:lncRNA from 1 species
UAGUCUCGAUCACCCAGACGCAUUAUGAAUAUAGCGUCUGGAUUUUUGUGUCUUUGGAUUUCGUUCAUAGAUGGCGUUUUAAAAUUAGGUAAUGACCUUGACUACAUGUUCCCGGAAGGAAAAACUUCAGGAAUAUGGACGAUAACAUGCGGCAGUGGUUGACCAGAGUUGAUCAGAGUUGUGAGGUUCAGUGUAAAAUGAAACGUUUAAACAGCAUGGAAACUAGACAAUUAACUUAUCAAGGUUCAUGUUUACGAAUGUCUCUUUUAAUAGGAUAGGGAAAAGGUAGUUUUUUAACACAUAACUCAGAAAGGGGGGGGGGGUGCAAACUUAUCCUUGGUUGUUACAACCUACUGUUUUUGUACACCUUUAUGCAACCAAGGAUUAGUUUGCAAAAUCAUAACAACCAGAGGCGGAUUUAGGGGGGGGGGCCUGGCCUCCCCUUUUUGAGAAAAAAAAUUGGUUGCUUAUAUAGGGAAUCAUUGAAGCGUGACUGGAGCGGGCCCCCUCUUAGGUCAGUCAGGGGGCCCCCAUUUUGAAAAUUUCUGGAUCCGCCACUGACAACUAGUAUCAUAAAAAUAAAAUAUUUGACAGUUUGUAUUAGGUUUGUAGUUUUAAAUUUUUACCUCAUGCAUCGAUCAAUGAAAUCUGAGACAACACAGUAAUCUCAGCUGAAAUCUCAAUAUAAAAAAAAAACAAAACUACCAAAACAUUUGACUCUUGAGUUAUACUGCAAAUCACAAGGAUAUUUAAUAUGACUAAUCUGCAGUAAGCACCAAGAAUUGAUGCUUAAAGGGAAGUCCCUUCUUGUACUUUAUGCAGAUGAGUCAAACUCCUAAAUUAUUUAAAAUAUAUUUUAAAAGCAUAUUUUUAAGAUUAUAGAUUCUGUGUCCAACCAGCAAAGAUCAUCAAGGGACGGUGCAAGAGAAUAUGAAAUUCUUCUUACAAUAAGACAAUUUAUCCUCAUGCUAUAUAUAUGGAUUAUGCCAUUUAGAAUUUAGAAUGCACUUAAUGAAACUAACAAUUAAACAAAUACAGAUUUACCGUUGUAACAAUUGUUGAUUGCCAUAACAGGCUGAUUAGUAUUGAGAAUGAAAUAAAUAAUAUGACCAACAGAAUACAGUAUAUUAUAACUAUCUAUAAUCUAUGUACAUUGUAAUCUAUGCAUAAAGUAUCUGCAUUGAGUUGCAUCUGAAAUAGUAAAAUACUGACAUAUUAUAUCUUUUCCAGGUCAGUUAUCUGUAUUGAAUGGCUGGAGAAUACAAACCUAGUACAAAUGUAUAUAGGGGAACGAAGAGGCCUCACAUAUAACUGACUGUCAUUGGGUAAUUUUAUUAUUAAUAAAAAAUUGAGAAUGGAAAUGGGGAAUGUGUCAAAGAGACAACAACCUGACCAAAGAGCAGAAAACAGCCAAAGACCACCAAUGGAUCUACAAAACACUGAGAAAAUCACGCACACAGAGGCAUGCUUCAGCUGCCACCUUAACAAAAAUGUGUACUACUCCUGGUAACAUGGGGUCAAGGUGAUAAUGAAUGUUAUACUAGACUCCGAAAUAUAUAAAUGAACUAAAAUUAAAUAAUCAUAACAAGACUAACAAAGGCCAGAGGCUCCUGACUUGGGACAUGCGAAAAAAUGUGUAGGGGUUAAACAUGUUUUGCAAGAUCUCAACCUAUCCAGCUAGCCAUUGUAGAAAAACAAAAACAAUAGGCACAUUAAAUCUCAGUUUAAAGAAGUCAUAUUUAGUCCUAUGUCAGAAUAGGAAACAAACCAAACUAAGCAAAAUGACGAUGAAAAAAUUUACAAAGGACUACUAGCAGUUACUGACAUGUUCCUCGGACAUAUGUGAACUUAACUUUAAAUGUCAUACACUAUAUGCAUGAUAUGUUUUAUCACUUUUUGACUUUUUUUUUUUUAGCAUAUGAAAUAUAUCUUGAAAGUAUUGAGCCAAGGUGUUUUUUUACGAAUAUUCUUUUUGGUACCCUAAUACCGGUACGGACAUGAAUUACCAAUAAGAAAAAUAAUUUCUUUGGUUUUAUUCCGAUACAGAUACAUGAAGUCAGACUAAAUGUUUUUGAACCUUGCAUAUCUACUUGAACUUGUUUCUUAGUUUUGCAAAAUUACUUUAUUCAGUAAAAUUUCUAAACAAAUGUAUAGUUUUGUAGACAUUGGCCUCACACAAAUUGCAUUUUAUUAAACUUGAGCUAAUUAUAUUUCAGCAAAAGGCUUUGCAGCCAUACAAAACAUGUAUUUCAUCUUGGAAGAAAAAGAACAACAGUCCUGAUGAUGGUGACAGGUCAAAUUAAUCUACCAGGUAACACAUACACAACAUAUUGUUUUAAGGCUUUUCCAUUUAAACAUACAUGCAUGCAUAUUGGGACCAGGGAAGACACUUAGAGAUCCAAAGUUAUAAUGUUGGGGUGGGGUUAAUUGCAAUGAAAAUGUUAGUGAAAUUCUCAAUUGGCUUCUAUCAGUUGAUUAUUGAUUAAGUAUAAAUUUAACUUUAUUAGCUAUAGUUGAAAAAUCUACUUUUUUCAUCUGUUAUAUUUAUCCUUCCAUGGAUGGGCACUUGUUGUUUAACUUACAUACAUUAUUGUUAUGUUAGUUUAGUAAUGUUAUGUUAGUUUAGUAAAAUAUAAUAAUGGAUUAAACCCAGAUUUUAGUUAAAUAUAGCCUCCUUUUGUUGUGCUUGAUAUCCUGAAUUUUUUUUAUAUAUAUUAAGAAGUAAAGUUAACACUUAUAGAUAUUCUCCAUCAAACACUUAUAGAUAUUCUCCAUCAAAUAUAAUAUUUUUUUACAACCAGUAUAUAUUUUAAAUGGAACGUCAGAAAGCGAGAGUAAAAAAAAAACAAUUCACAAAAACAGAAAAAUUGAAACAAAUGCAUGACAUAGAUGUGUUGAAAAACAAAAGGAAUGUUUCUCUGUUUAAGAGUUAUUGUAUGGACUACAAACACAAUACAACCCUCUUAAAACCCAGGUUAUAUCAGGUGUUAAGAGUGAGCAUACACUGCUUGUAUAUGAUUUAUAGUUCAUAACAGUCUGUCAUUCUGUACCUCUGUCAAAUUAGCCAUACUUGGUAUAGAAUAAAGAUUAUUUGUACACAAUGAUUUUCAAUGUAAAGUUUCACAUAGGAAAAUAACUUUGUAUAAUUUUCAUAUUUCUGUUUCCUGUAAACUAGUAACGAUUACCAGUAUAGUUGUAUAGUUCUGAGCAUUUUGUCAAACAUAUAAACUUGUAAUAAUAUUCCCUGAACAUUUUGGUACAGGAUUGUGGGUAAAACUCUUAAAAUAUAAAUAUUUCUGUAACAAUUGUACAUGUAAUAACAAUUAGCCACUUCAUGAUAUCCAUUACCAAAAAAUGUUGUAUAGUCUGAUUAUAACCACAGAAUUUACUUUGCUUUUCAGAUACUAGUGAAGAAAUAAAGAAACAAGAGUAGACACCAUUUGACCAACUGUGCUUACAAUACUUGUGCAAUAGUUGUAAUUGAUGUCCAUACUACAUUGUAGUGUCAUACAUGUAUGAUAAUACAUUACAGCAUCCAUAGAAUUAUCAUCUUGGUCGUCAAUGCCUCUCAUUUCUUAAUAAAUUGCAUUUGUUAUUUUGGUUGUAUGAUUUUCUAAAAAGACUUUUUUGUUAUUAAUGGAGUAGAAUGUUGAAAAAACAAAUGACAAAGAUCAUUGCUGAAUGAAGUACAAGUAUUUUUUUAAAGUUUAAAUAGACAAUUGGUAUGGUGUUUGAGUGAUUUAAAAUAGAUAUUUCUUAUUUGUUUCCAGUACAUUAAUAAGCACUUUAUCACACAAUCAGUGGCAGAUCCAGAAAUUUUCAUAAGUUGGGGCCCACUGACUGCCUAAGAGGGGGUCCGGCCCACUCCAGUCAUGCUUCAGUGAUUCCCUAUAUAAUCAACCAAAUUUCUUUCCAAAAAAGGGGAAGCCAGGGGCCCCUGGCCCCCUCUAAAUCCGCCUCUGACAAUACCAUGAAAAUAAAUUAGCUGUAGCUAUUUGUUG